UAAGGAAUAUUGCUCAAUGGGAGAAAUCCUGAAGCAGCAACGCCGCGUGGAGGAUGAAGGGUCUAUGACUUGUAAACUCCUGUAAAGAAGGAAAAAAUGCCCAUUUGAUGGGAGAUGAUGGUACUUCUGGAGUAAGCCCCGGCUAACUACGUGCCAGCAGCAGCGGUAAUACGUAGGGGGCAAGCGUUGUCUGGAUUUACUGGGUGUAAAGGGUGCUCAGGCGGAUUUGUAAGUCAGAGGUGAAAUCUUACAGCUUAACUGUGAACCUUCCUUGGAUACUGCAAAGCUAGGGUAUGGAAGGGAGUGAUUGAAUAUCUGGUGGAGCAGUGAAAUUCGUAGAUAUCUAAUAGAACACCAAUGGCGAAGGCAAUCACUUGGUCCAUUACUGACACUAAAGCACGAAAGCGUGGG
rnacentral:rRNA from 1 species